UCCGGUUGAUCCUGCCGGAGGUCACUGCUAUCGGUGUUCGAUUAAGCCAUGCGAGUCGUGAGGGGUAAAGCCCUCGGCGGAGUGCUCAGUAACACGUGGACAACCUACCCAAGAGUCAGGGAUAACCCCGGGAAACUGGGGAUAAUACCUGAUAGGCCAUGACAUCUGGAAUCGAGUUGUGGUUUAAACGUAAGGCUCUUGGAUGGGUCUGCGGCGGAUUAGGUUGUUGCCGGUGUAACGUACCAGCAAGCCUGUAAUCCGUACGGGUUGUGGGAGCAAGAGCCCGGAGAUGGAUUCUGAGACACGAAUCCAGGCCCUACGGGGCGCAGCAGGCGCGAAAACUCUACAAUGCAGGCAACUGCGAUAGGGGAACAUCGAGUGGCAUCCACCAUGGAUGUCUGUCCAAUCGUCUAAAAAACGAUUGUCAGCAAGGGCCGGGCAAGACCGGUGCCAGCCGCCGCGGUAAUACCGGCGGCUCGAGUGGUGGCCGAUAUUAUUGAGUCUAAAGGGUCCGUAGCCGGCUUUGCAAGUCCUAUGGGAAAUCCAGCGGCUUAACCGUUGGGCUUUCAUGGGAUACUACAUUGCUUGGGACUGGGAGAGGUGGGAGGUACUCAGGGGGUAGGGGUGAAAUCCUGUAAUCCUUUGGGGACCACCGGUGGCGAAGGCGUCCUACCAGAACAGGCCCGACGGUGAGGGACGAAAGCUAGGGGCACGAACCGGAUUAGAUACCCGGGUAGUCCUAGCCGUAAACGAUGCUCGCUAGGUGUCACGGCAGUCGUGAAUUGUCGUGGUGCCGUAGGGAAGCCGUGAAGCGAGCCACUUGGGAAGUACGACCGCAAGGUUGAAACUUAAAGGAAUUGGCGGGGGAGCACCACAACGGGUGGAGCCUGCGGUUUAAUUGGAUUCAACGCCGGAAAGCUUACCGGGAUCGACAGUUGUAUGAAGGCCAGGCUGAAGACCUUGCCGGACUAGCUGAGAGGAGGUGCAUGGCCGUCGUCAGUUCGUACCGUGAGGCGUCCUGUUAAGUCAGGCAACGAGCGAGACCCA
rnacentral:rRNA from 1 species